rfam:Schistosoma margrebowiei strain Zambia genome assembly, scaffold: SMRZ_scaffold0000649
AUCCAGCUGACGAGUCUCAAGUAGGACAAAAGGUACGUCCUGGAU